GUGAUUGUAGCUCAGCUGGUUAGAGCACUGGUUUGUGGAGCCGGGGGUCGUGGGUUCGAGCCCCAUCAGUCACCCUA
rnacentral:tRNA from 2 species